AAGCUGAGCUACCACGAUCAUGAUUCAGAGCAACCAUUUUCAUGAGCUCCAAAUCAUGACCAUGAAAAGCGUUACGCACACGGUGCACCUGUCAAAACGUGUUUAGCAAAGCUUGUGCAAAGCAUAGUUGGCUGCGCAUUCACGGAAAAGUUGCCCUUUUUUUAAAAAAAAGUUCACUUUUAUUGCCGGUUUCCUGCGCCGCUGUUGCUCUACUGUCGUUCCUGCUCUACUAUUCCGUUCCUGCUCCGUUGAUAUCGAGCUAUUCCGGCUCUGCAGAACUACCGCCGUUUCAUUCUGUUCCUUUCCUGCCGUGGCUGUUGCCCGUUCCGGCUCCUGUGUACCCGUUCCAGCUCCGCAUUGAGGGAAAAUUCUUCCGGCUCCGCUCUACUAACUACCGCCGUUUUAUUGUCCCAGUGCCACUGUCGCCAUUCCCGCCGCGGCUGAUGCCGUCCAAUAGGUGCAUCCGUUCCGGCUCCGCAUUGAGUGACCAGCUCCGCCCUACCAACUACCGCUCCCGAUUUUGUUGCCGUUCCGGACGUUUCGUUUUCAGCCUUGGCUGGUUCCGCCCAGUAGGUGUUCCCGUUCCGACUUCCCCCACAACUACCGAACGCAGGUGAUAUAGAAGGGAGGAUCGAGCGGCGACUGAACCAUCUCCGCGAAAAAUAUGGGGAAUCAUCGCUACAACCUCAAAUUGUCGCAGUGGGCACGAGCAACUCAACAAAAGCAACGAUGGUUAUUUUU